GACAUAGGUGACGAACGUUAUCCGGAAUUAUUGGGCGUAAAGGAUGCGUAGAUGGUUAAAUAAGUUAUCGGUGGGAAAACAAGGCUCAACCUUGUGGAAGCUGAUAAUACUGUUUGGCUAGAGUGUAGGAGAGGUUAACGGAAUUCCAUGUGGAGCGGUGAAAUGCGCAGAUAUCAGGAGGAACACCGGUGGCGAAGGCGGGUCUCUGGGCAACAACUGACGCUGAGGAGCGAAAGCGUGGGGAGCGAACAGG
rnacentral:rRNA from 1 species